CUUCACAAACAGCCGGGGCCUGCCAGGGAGGGUGACAAUGAGCGCUGGAGAGGGUUUUCUCCCCCUGGUUGGUGUCUCUUCCCCCCUUCUCGCUGUGGUGGCAGAUUCUGGACAGUGUGCAGCCUGUGAGGUAAUCUGAAUUCCUUGGCAACUGGCAAGUACCUGAAUUCUUUCAAAACCACAGGAAUCCAGCAGAGAAAAGACCAUUUGUGAAGCACAGUGGCCUGAGAAUCUUCCACCUUAUUACCACUGCAUGAAAGCACAAUGUGAUCCUGGAUCCCAGCUGGGAAAGAGCUUGCUGUGGACCAACACUGAACCACUAGUCCCAGCAUGGGCAACAAGUGCUCUCAGAGGAACGGCCUCUCCGAGGUGAAGUAGGCCUGUGACCACCCCUGACGUGAGUCCCAGAGGAUGAACACCCCACUGCACGACCGGACCAGACUGAAAAGUCCAACAGGUUAGCAGAA